rnacentral:rRNA from 1 species
UACGUAGGGGGCAAGCGUUGUCCGGAUUCAUUGGGCGUAAAGAGCGUGUAGGCGGCCAGGUAGGUCGGUUGUGAAAACUGGAGGCUCAACCUUCAGAGGUCGACCGAAACCAUCUGGCUAGAGUCCGGGGGAGGAGAGUGGAAUUCCUGGUGUAGCGGUGAAAUGCGCAGAUAUCAGGAAGAACACCCGUGGCGAAAGCGGCUCUCUGGAACGGUACUGACGCUGAGACGCGAAAGCGUGGGGAGCGAACAGG